UAGAAAUAAAACAUGUUAGUAAUAAUGAGGUUACUUGAAAUUGUUUUUGUUUUCAAGUCUAUUUUCUUAUUGAAUUCAAGUAUAUCUAGUUACAUGAUUAAGUAGUUGGGUACACCUAACAUAAUUCGUGAUUAUAUAUUAUUGUGUAGUAUAACAUGACAUACUAUACUAGCUACAUUUAACUAUUUAUUUUGACAAGCCUAAAUACAGAAUAUUAGAAGAGAUACUAUGUAGGUAUAGAUUUUACGAUAUUAAAAUUUUUAUAUUCUUUAGGUGCACAUAUAAUUCUUUUAUAUGGUCAACCUAGAAAAGUAACAAGAGGUAUAGAUUUUACGAUAUUAAACUUUUUAUAUUCUUUAGGUGCACAUAUAAUUCUUUUAUAUGGUCAAUCUAGAAAAGUAACAAGGCUAGUUAUGUAGCAUGUCAAAUCACUUAGCCAAUUUAUUACCAAAAUUGCUUGAUAAAGACCUUUGUGCAAUAAGGAUAUUCAUAUUAGCCAGUAUUGUCUUACCUGUAUUCAGUACACUUUAAGUCAUGCUAAUUAUCUUGAAUAAUUUAAUGAUACAUGUACUAACUAGACAUACAAAUGAUUGUUGUUUUUAUAGAUGCUACAAAUAAUUGAUAAAGCUUUACAAUGAUUUGAGAUUUUACUUAUUUAAGAAAGCAAAUUUGAUUUGCUAAGUUGCAGAUUACUUGUGUACAACUUUC
rnacentral:lncRNA from 1 species